UACGUAGGUGACAAGCGUUGUCCGGAUUUACUGGGCGUAAAGAGCGCGCAGGCGGUCGUUCAAGUCGAGUGUGAAAGCCCCCGGCUCAACUGGGAGGGUCAUUCGAUACUGAUCGACUCGAAGGCAGGAGAGGGAAGUGGAAUUCCCGGUGUAGUGGUGAAAUGCGUAGAUAUCGGGAGGAACACCAGUGGCGAAGGCGACUACCUGGCCUGUUCUUGACGCUGAGGCGCGAAAGCGGAGGGACAAACAGGG
rnacentral:rRNA from 1 species